UAUGUUCUUCUUACUAAAAGCAUAUCGGUUUGGUCCAUCAUUGGGUACGGCUUUCAAAUUUUAUGUCUUCAUUGGAUUUGAAGCAUAAAGUCUAAGAGACGAUCUGUUCGGCUCCAUGGUCGAUACGAUACCAGUCCAAAACAAGCACAGAAGAAACCCAAACACAAUUCACCCAAGGAGUUUUGAUUCUGUUCGUGACUCCAAGACCUUGAUACUGGAAUAUUGGGUUUAGUAUUAUUUUUUGGCUCUUUUCUCUUCUUCUUUUUUUUUUUAAAAAAAGAAAGAGUAUGAGUUGACUUUAUUAUGUUGUGAACUUCUACUUUCAAAUUUGGGAUGUUUUGGAACUUUAAAUCUUGGAUUUUCUUUUCGAGUUCAUUUUAUUAUAUCAGGAAAGAUGGGAAGAAUGCUACUGCAAAGCAUAUUUCUCCAAGGACCAACCCAUACAUAACCAGGUGAGUCAUUGAUUUUAAUGAUAUUAUCCUCGACAAUUCACUGGAUAUCUUGCAUUAAUAUUGAUGAAAAAGUUUGUAUACACUAACGAGAUUAUGUCAUUCAUGCCAAUCAUAUAUUAUUAUAACUUUAAUGUCGGGGAAAGUUGUCGUUGAGAGUUGCUCGUGGAGGGGUGGUGUUUCCUACAGAUUUUGUUCCACAAUUUAGUUUUACAAUAUGUUCAAUUAAGUUUCAGAUGAUCUAUGGGCUAAAUCCAUGAUCUGAGAUUUCUUACAGUUACGGUUUCUGGUGUUGCUCUAUUUACAGGGUUGGACCAGUACCUGGGAUUCAAAAUUGUAGUUACACUGCAAGUGUCAAUUUGAUCAGUGCUUAGGUUUUUUGGUUUACAUAAUGUUUAAAGUUCAUAUGGUCAUAGAUUUAUUUGAUAUUCACUUAUGAUUAGGCAGUAGUCUCUAGAAAUUAUUUUCUUCCUGUUAAGGAGUAGGUUCUUAUCAAGCAUUCCUUCAUAAUUUUAUCAUUAAAUUAGUAUUGCAAGUGCAAUGUGGUCUCCAUUAAGAAACCUUUAUUUCAGGUUUAACAAAUUUUUGUUCUUUUUCACCAACAUAGCAUGGUGGUCCUAAUGGCAUUUCAAAUGCCAUUGCUAGAAGUCUUAGGCUUGACAACAAUAUUUGGUAAUGUGACAACAGAAGAUGCCACUCUUAAUGCCUUGCUUUUGGUGUGUAUUCGUGUCAGUUGACAUUCAUAUGCUGUGAAUUUUCCAGUUCACCAUGUUGUUUGAACCUUUUCAUGAUCAAUAAUAUGAUCACAGGGCAUCCGGGUGUUCCUAUGGCAAAGGGCAGCUCUGAGCCGCUGAAGGUAACUUUUUAAAUUGAAGGACGGUCAUGGCUAUUCUUCAUAACUUUCUGUACUUUGAUACAAGUGAAAUCCAUGGGGUGUCUAGCAUGUCAUUUAAAACCCUCAAAAGAUAUUGGCAAGUACUUCAAAGUAAAUGUCUAUGGUUUAAGUUGAAACUGUGUCGUGAUGUUAUUGUUGGGGUAAAUUUGGAAGUCUGCUGCUGCAUCAAACGUCUUUUGUUUAUCUGAAAUUGUUUUGGAAUAUCUGCCAUGACAUUUGGAACCUUUUGUCUUGCAAAUGAACUUAAUACUAUGAAUUGUAAUUUGUAUAUUUUCGAUUAAUCUUUAACUUGAAAGUCCACUUUGAAACUA